rnacentral:antisense_RNA from 1 species
UUUGAUGGAGCCCAGUAACAGCGGCCGAUCCGAGGGGCGGUCCGCGCCGUAGGUGGCGAGCAGCGCCUGCGCCUC